rnacentral:lncRNA from 12 species
UCCUGAGUGACCCCUGGGGAUCCUGAGUGACCCCUGGGGAGUCUGAGUGACCCCUGGGCCAUCCCAGGAUCCCGAGUGACCCCUGGGGAUCCUGAGUGACCCCAGGGACCCUGAGUGACCCCUGGGCCAUCCCAGGACCCUGAGUGCCCCCUGGGGUUCCUGAGUGACCCCUGGGGAUCCUGAGUGACCCUUGAGAUCCUGAGUGACCCCUGGGGAUCCUGAGUGACCCCUGGGGAGUCUGAGUGACCCCUGGGCCAUCCCAGGAUCCCGAGUGACCCCUGGGGUUCCUGAGUGACCCUUGGGAUCCUGAGUGACCCCUGGGGAGUCUGAGUGACGGG